CUUCACAGCCAUGAGUCCUUGACAUUUGGGUUGGCAGUGAGUUCCCAGCACAAGCUGAAAGCUGAAAUAGCUCUGCACGGCCCUUGGUAAAGCCCAGCAUCCAACCGUACUGGCUACGGAGAACGCCACCUCUUUCCUUUGUCUUUCUGAUUCCGUGUUACAUGGUCUGACAAAUUUUAAGUGUCCUAUUCACAGGCAUUUGUAACUGUUUAUUAUCUCUCCCUUCUUCUUUUACAAUCCAUCCAACCUACUAACAUUUUCCUGAAGCACUGUUUUCCUUCUAUCAGCAGAUAUUAGGACACAAAGAACAUUUUAUCAAGAAAAAGUAGAGCUUGCCAUCAAAAAUGAAAUUAUUUGGUUUUGUUCCAUCAAAACCAGUGGAAUGCUUUCUUUCAUAUCACCCAAAUAUUUCUUGUGCUUCUCCGUAUCUGUACUUUUUAUGUUACACAGCCUGUGCCUAAAAUACCCACACACGUUUUCUAUCCAGACCCUUUCUACUCUCAGGGUGUAGGUCAAAAACCAACUUUUCUGUGAAAUGUUCUUUGAUGACCUGACUAGGGAAUUGCUUCUCUCUCCUCCAGCGCUGAUGACACCUCGUUACCUCUAUUGCUGAUUUGUCAUUUUUCAUACACAGCGUGAUGAUCACUAAUGGAUAUAGUUUAUCAGGCACCUCUGUACUAUGGACAGUGAUAGAUCCUGACCGAUAUUUUAACCUCCGCCAGCAAGGCCAGGUCCCUUUGGACGAGAAGAGCUCAACUGUUAAGGAUUACAAGGGCUUUCCUGGCAACACAGAAGAGAAGCCUUUCUAGACAGACGAAAUGGACUGAAGCCAUCGUGAGGGGAAACAGCAUGCCAGCAUCAAGUCGCUCUCAGCCUAAAGUGCAAAUGCAAGCCACCCACACUCUGCACCCUCAUGACUCAUCUGGACCACAGAACGGCAGCAUCUGUAUCACCUGGGAGCUCGGCACAAGUUAAGAAUCUCACCUACCCCAUAUCUACUGAAUCACAAUCUACGUUUUAAGAAGAUCCCAGGUGAUUCCCGCACAUGCUCAAAUUGGCAAAGCACUACCGAGAGACUAGCACCUACCGCAAUCUCUGGCACAUGCUUUGUUCUCAAACACUAUUUGCUAAAUAAAUGCAUCUGUAUUGUUGUAUCAAUUC